rnacentral:rRNA from 1 species
AGUGAACGCUGGCGGUAGGCCUAACACAUGCAAGUCGAACGGCAGCACAGUAAGAGCUUGCUCUUACGGGUGGCGAGUGGCGGACGGGUGAGCAAUACAUCGGAAUCUACUUUUUCUUGGGGGAUAACGUAGGGAAACUUACGCUAAUACCGCAUACGACCUACGGGUGAAAGCAGGGGAUCUUCGGACCUUGCGCGAUUGAAUGAGCCGAUGUCGGAUUAGCUAGUUGGCGGGGUAAAGGCCCACCAAGGCGACGAUCCGUAGCUGGUCUGAGAGGAUGAUCAGCCACACUGGAACUGAGACACGGUCCAGACUCCUACGGGAGGCAGCAGUGGGGAAUAUUGGACAAUGGGCGCAAGCCUGAUCCAGCCAUACCGCGUGGGUGAAGAAGGCCUUCGGGUUGUAAAGCCCUUUUGUUGGGAAAGAAAAGCAGCAGGUUAAUACCCCGCUGUUCUGACGGUACCCAAAGAAUAAGCACCGGCUAACUUCGUG